rnacentral:SRP_RNA from 21 species
CUCGGCCUUUCGCGGUUUUAACACCCAAACCUGGUCAGGAUCGGAAGGUAGCAGCCACAAGGGAUGCUUGAGGCAGGCGAG